UACUCCUAAAUGAACGCCUAAAUUGGAAUUUACAUCCUAGUAAGUCCUGGUGAAUAUGUUAACUCGACCUUCGAGUGUGAGCUGAUAUGAAUUUGGUGUUGGCAUUUGGUGCCGGGUGCCCUGACAUGCUCGCAAAAAUGCAAUAUGCAACAGCCCGUACGCGAGUUUGUAUCUGCAGAUUGUCCGAAAUGGUUACAAUUCCCAGGGAAAUAACCAAAUUCCAUUAUACAGAUACAAAUCAAAUUGGCAAAAGGCAUUGAAAGGGAUCAAACGAGGGUCGGUUGGAGGAGAGGUAGGUAGGGAUAAAAUGCAAAAAUCAAAUUACCAGGACUUGAGAAAUCGCAGACAUCAGAGAGCCAUAAAUCAGUAGGGAAGACGAAGGGAAAGGAAUCGUACUUAUAUAAGAAAUUGUUACCGCUAGUUAACGGUUUAUUGAUGCGUCGCUUUUGGCUGAAUUUAUUGGCCUGGUCGUUGGUCUUUCGCUUCCGCACGCAAAUGGAAAAUGGCCAAAACCGAAAUGGAGGAAAAUCGUGCAAAGCGUUGAAUUGAUUUGGCUCUUAGCCGGCUUCUUAAGCUGUCAAAUGCUGUGCUCUAAAAAAUACUUGGACGCCAAAUGUGCGGAGAAAUCAAAAAUGGAAAAUAAUUCUUCACAGGAUUCAAGGUAAAAACUAAAUUUUCACGCUUUGAUAAACUAUAAAGUAUGUAUCUAUGUAAGUUAAU
ensembl:ncRNA lncRNA:CR44858 long non-coding RNA:CR44858